rnacentral:rRNA from 1 species
UACGGGGGGGGCAAGCGUUGUUCGGAAUUACUGGGCGUAAAGGGUUCGUAGGUGGCCAACUCAGUCAGACGUGAAAUCCCUCAGCUCAACUGGGGAACUGCGUCUGAUACUGGAUGGCUCGAGUGCAGGAGAGGAACGCGGAAUUCCAGGUGUAGCGGUGAAAUGCGUAGAUAUCUGGAGGAACACCGAUGGCGAAGGCAGCCCCCUGGGUCAAGCACUGACGCUCAUGCACGAAAGCGUGGGGAGCAAACAGG